rnacentral:rRNA from 1 species
GUGGGGAAUAUUGGACAAUGGGCGAAAGCCUGAUCCAGCCAUGCCGCGUGUGUGAAGAAGGUCUUCGGAUUGUAAAGCACUUUAAGUUGGGAGGAAGGGCAGUAAAUUAAUACUUUGCUGUUUUGACGUUACCGACAGAAUAAGCACCGGCUAACUUCGUGCCAGCAGCAGCGGUAAUACGAAGGGUGCAAGCGUUAAUCGGAAUUACUGGGCGUAAAGCGCGCGUAGGUGGUUCGGUAAGAUGGAAGUGAAAGCCCCGGGCUCAACCUGGGAACUGCUUUCAUAACUGCCGAGCUAGAGUACGGUAGAGGGUAGUGGAAUUUCCUGUGUAGCGGUGAAAUGCGUAGAUAUAGGAAGGAACACCAGUGGCGAAGGCGGCUCACUGGUCCGGUACUGACGCUGAGGUGCGAAAGCGUGGGGAGCAAACAGGAUUAGAAACCCGGGUAGUCC